UAGGAAGGGUGUCACUGGAGGUAAGAAUGC
rnacentral:piRNA from 1 species